ACUAAGCGUACACGGUGGAUGCCCUGGCAGUCAGAGGCGAUGAAGGACGUGCUAAUCUGCGAUAAGCGUCGGUAAGGUGAUAUGAACCGUUAUAACCGGCGAUUUCCGAAUGGGGAAACCCAGUGUGUUUCGACACACUAUCAUUAACUGAAUCCAUAGGUUAAUGAGGCGAACCGGGGGAACUGAAACAUCUAAGUACCCCGAGGAAAAGAAAUCAACCGAGAUUCCCCCAGUAGCGGCGAGCGAACGGGGAGCAGCCCAGAGCCUGAAUCAGUGUGUGUGUUAGUGGAAGCGUCUGGAAAGGCGCGCGAUACAGGGUGACAGCCCCGUACACAAAAAUGCACAUGCUGUGAGCUCGAUGAGUAGGGCGGGACACGUGGUAUCCUGUCUGAAUAUGGGGGGACCAUCCUCCAAGGCUAAAUACUCCUGACUGACCGAUAGUGAACCAGUACCGUGAGGGAAAGGCGAAAAGAACCCCGGCGAGGGGAGUGAAAAAGAACCUGAAACCGUGUACGUACAAGCAGUGGGAGCCUCUUUAUGGGGUGACUGCGUACCUUUUGUAUAAUGGGUCAGCGACUUAUAUUCUGUAGCAAGGUUAACCGAAUAGGGGAGCCGAAGGGAAACCGAGUCUUAACUGGGCGUUAAGUUGCAGGGUAUAGACCCGAAACCCGGUGAUCUAGCCAUGGGCAGGUUGAAGGUUGGGUAACACUAACUGGAGGACCGAACCGACUAAUGUUGAAAAAUUAGCGGAUGACUUGUGGCUGGGGGUGAAAGGCCAAUCAAACCGGGAGAUAGCUGGUUCUCCCCGAAAGCUAUUUAGGUAGCGCCUCGUGAAUUCAUCUCCGGGGGUAGAGCACUGUUUCGGCAAGGGGGUCAUCCCGACUUACCAACCCGAUGCAAACUGCGAAUACCGGAGAAUGUUAUCACGGGAGACACACGGCGGGUGCUAACGUCCGUCGUGAAGAGGGAAACAACCCAGACCGCCAGCUAAGGUCCCAAAGUCAUGGUUAAGUGGGAAACGAUGUGGGAAGGCCCAGACAGCCAGGAUGUUGGCUUAGAAGCAGCCAUCAUUUAAAGAAAGCGUAAUAGCUCACUGGUCGAGUCGGCCUGCGCGGAAGAUGUAACGGGGCUAAACCAUGCACCGAAGCUGCGGCAGCGACGCUUAUGCGUUGUUGGGUAGGGGAGCGUUCUGUAAGCCUGUGAAGGUGUGCUGUGAGGCAUGCUGGAGGUAUCAGAAGUGCGAAUGCUGACAUAAGUAACGAUAAAGCGGGUGAAAAGCCCGCUCGCCGGAAGACCAAGGGUUCCUGUCCAACGUUAAUCGGGGCAGGGUGAGUCGACCCCUAAGGCGAGGCCGAAAGGCGUAGUCGAUGGGAAACAGGUUAAUAUUCCUGUACUUGGUGUUACUGCGAAGGGGGGACGGAGAAGGCUAUGUUGGCCGGGCGACGGUUGUCCCGGUUUAAGCGUGUAGGCUGAUUUUCCAGGCAAAUCCGGAAAAUCAAGGCUGAGGCGUGAUGACGAGGCACUACGGUGCUGAAGCAACAAAUGCCCUGCUUCCAGGAAAAGCCUCUAAGCAUCAGGUAACAUCAAAUCGUACCCCAAACCGACACAGGUGGUCAGGUAGAGAAUACCAAGGCGCUUGAGAGAACUCGGGUGAAGGAACUAGGCAAAAUGGUGCCGUAACUUCGGGAGAAGGCACGCUGAUAUGUAGGUGAAGUCCCUCGCGGAUGGAGCUGAAAUCAGUCGAAGAUACCAGCUGGCUGCAACUGUUUAUUAAAAACACAGCACUGUGCAAACACGAAAGUGGACGUAUACGGUGUGACGCCUGCCCGGUGCCGGAAGGUUAAUUGAUGGGGUCAGCGCAAGCGAAGCUCUUGAUCGAAGCCCCGGUAAACGGCGGCCGUAACUAUAACGGUCCUAAGGUAGCGAAAUUCCUUGUCGGGUAAGUUCCGACCUGCACGAAUGGCGUAAUGAUGGCCAGGCUGUCUCCACCCGAGACUCAGUGAAAUUGAACUCGCUGUGAAGAUGCAGUGUACCCGCGGCAAGACGGAAAGACCCCGUGAACCUUUACUAUAGCUUGACACUGAACAUUGAGCCUUGAUGUGUAGGAUAGGUGGGAGGCUUUGAAGUGUGGACGCCAGUCUGCAUGGAGCCGGCCUUGAAAUACCACCCUUUAAUGUUUGAUGUUCUAACGUGGACCCGUAAUCCGGGUUGCGGACAGUGUCUGGUGGGUAGUUUGACUGGGGCGGUCUCCUCCUAAAGAGUAACGGAGGAGCACGAAGGUUGGCUAAUCCUGGUCGGACAUCAGGAGGUUAGUGCAAUGGCAUAAGCCAGCUUGACUGCGAGCGUGACGGCGCGAGCAGGUGCGAAAGCAGGUCAUAGUGAUCCGGUGGUUCUGAAUGGAAGGGCCAUCGCUCAACGGAUAAAAGGUACUCCGGGGAUAACAGGCUGAUACCGCCCAAGAGUUCAUAUCGACGGCGGUGUUUGGCACCUCGAUGUCGGCUCAUCACAUCCUGGGGCUGAAGUAGGUCCCAAGGGUAUGGCUGUUCGCCAUUUAAAGUGGUACGCGAGCUGGGUUUAGAACGUCGUGAGACAGUUCGGUCCCUAUCUGCCGUGGGCGCUGGAGAACUGAGGGGGGCUGCUCCUAGUACGAGAGGACCGGAGUGGACGCAUCACUGGUGUUCGGGUUGUCAUGCCAAUGGCACUGCCCGGUAGCUAAAUGCGGAAGAGAUAAGUGCUGAAAGCAUCUAAGCACGAAACUUGCCCCGAGAUGAGUUCUCCCUGACCCUUUAAGGGUCCUGAAGGAACGUUGAAGACGACGACGUUGAUAGGCCGGGUGUGUAAGCGCAGCGAUGCGUUGAGCUAACCGGUACUAAUGAACCGUGAGGCUUAACCUUACAAC
rnacentral:rRNA from 1 species